rnacentral:rRNA from 1 species
GGCAGGCUUAACACAUGCAAGUCGAGCGGAAACGAUACCAGCUUGCUGGUAGGCGUCGAGCGGCGGACGGGUGAGUAACACUUAGGAAUCUACCUAGUAGUGGGGGAUAGCUCGGGGAAACUCGAAUUAAUACCGCAUACGACCUACGGGAGAAAGGGGGCAGUUUACUGCUCUCGCUAUUAGAUGAGCCUAAGUCGGAUUAGCUAGUUGGUGGGGUAAAGGCCUACCAAGGCGACGAUCUGUAGCUGGUCUGAGAGGAUGAUCAGCCACACCGGGACUGAGACACGGCCCGGACUCCUACGGGAGGCAGCAGUGGGGAAUAUUGGACAAUGGGGGCAACCCUGAUCCAGCCAUGCCGCGUGUGUGAAGAAGGCCUUUUGGUUGUAAAGCACUUUAAGCAGUGAAGAAGACCUAACGGUUAAUACCCGUUAGCGAUGACAUUAGCUGCAGAAUAAGCACCGGCUAACUCUGUGCCAGCAGCCGCGGUAAUACAGAGGGUGCAAGCGUUAAUCGGAAUUACUGGGCGUAAAGCGAGCGUAGGUGGCUUGAUAAGUCAGAUGUGAAAUCCCCGGGCUUAACCUGGGAACUGCAUCUGAUACUGUUAGGCUAGAAUAGGUGAGAGGAAGGUAGAAUUCCAGGUGUAGCGGUGAAAUGCGUAGAGAUCUGGAGGAAUACCGAUGGCGAAGGCAGCCUUCUGGCAUCAUAUUGACACUGAGGUUCGAAAGCGUGGGUAGCAAACAGGAUUAGAUACCCUGAUAGUCCACGCCGUAAACGAUGUCUACUAGUCGUUGGGUCCCUUGAGGACUUAGUGACGCA